GUAUCUUCGGAUAUGAGUAGAGCGGCGGACGGGUGAGUAACGCGUAGGAAUCUACCUAGUAGAAGGGGAUAGCCCGGGGAAACCCGGAUUAAUACCGUAUACCUCCUUCGGGAGAAAGAAGGCCUCUCUUUGAAGCUUUCGCUACUAGAUGAGCCUGCGUAAGAUUAGCUUGUUGGUGAGGUAAAGGCUCACCAAGGCGACGAUCUUUAGCUGGUCUGAGAGGACGAUCAGCCACAUUGGGACUGAGACACGGCCCAGACUCCUACGGGAGGCAGCAGUGGGGAAUAUUGGACAAUGGGCGCAAGCCUGAUCCAGCCAUACCGCGUGUGUGAAGAAGGCCUUCGGGUUGUAAAGCACUUUAAGCAGGGAGAAAAAGUUAUAAGUUAAUACCUUAUAACCCUGAUGUUACCUGCAGAAUAAGCACCGGCUAAUUCCGUGCCAGCAGCCGCGGUAAUACGGAAGGUGCAAGCGUUAAUCGGAAUUACUGGGCGUAAAGCGCGCGUAGGUGGUUUGUUAAGUUGGAUGUGAAAGCCCUGGGCUCAACCUAGGAACUGCAUCCAAAACUAACUCACUAGAGUACGAUAGAGGGAGGUAGAAUUCAUAGUGUAGCGGUGGAAUGCGUAGAUAUUAUGAAGAAUACCAGUGGCGAAGGCGGCCUCCUGGAUCUGUACUGACACUGAGGUGCGAAAGCGUGGGUAGCGAACAGGAUUAGAUACCCUGGUAGUCCACGCCGUAAACGAUGACAACUAGCUGUUGGGAGACUAUGUCUUUCAGUGGCGCAGCUAACGC
rnacentral:rRNA from 12 species